GGCCUCCUGGUGCUUACCACAGGCUGUGUUCUUAUACUGACUGUGUAGAAAAAGGAGGCAGAGUAAAUCUACCUACAUCACCUCAGUCCAGGCGCUAUGCCUGGUCUGUAUUGUGAAUGAGGGGACAUGG
rnacentral:snoRNA from 1 species